rnacentral:rRNA from 1 species
UACGGGGGGGGCAAGCGUUGUUCGGAAUUACUGGGCGUAAAGGGCUCGUAGGCGGCCAACUAAGUCAGACGUGAAAUCCCUCGGCUUAACCGGGGAACUGCAUCUGAUACUGGAUGGCUUGAGUUCGGGAGAGGGAUGCGGAAUUCCAGGUGUAGCGGUGAAAUGCGUAGAUAUCUGGAGGAAUACCGGUGGCGAAGGCGGCAUCCUGGACCAACACUGACGCUGAGGCGCGAAAGCUAGGGGAGCAAACGGG